rnacentral:rRNA from 1 species
GUAACGCGUAUCCAACCUUCCCUAUACUAGAGGAUAGCCCGGCGAAAGUCGGAUUAAUACUCGUAUGUUCUUCGUAGAAGACAUCUGAAAUGAAGCAAAGGUUUACCGGUAUAGGAUGGGGAUGGCGUCUGAUUAGGUGUUGGCGGGUAACGGCCACCAAGCCCACGAUCAGUAGGGGUUCUGAGAGGAAGGUCCCCCACAUUGGAACUGAGACACGGUCCAAACUCCUACGGGAGGCAGCAGUGAGGAAUAUUGGUCAAAUGGACGAGAGUCUGAACCAGCCAAGUAGCGUGCAGGAUGACGGCCCUAUGGGUUGUAAACUGCUUUUAUACAGGGAUAAAGUUCACUACGUGUAGUGUUUUGUAGGUACUGUAUGAAUAAGGACCGGCUAAUUCCGUGCCAGCCGCGGC